rnacentral:rRNA from 1 species
AACGAACGCUGGCGGCGUGCUUAACACAUGCAAGUCGAACGGGUUUAAUGGAUGUAGCAAUACAUUCAUUAAAUUAGUGGCGCACGGGUGAGUAACACGUAGGUAACCUACCCUUCAGUGGGGGACAACAGAGGGAAACUUCUGCUAAUACCGCAUACGAUCACGGACUGGGAUGUUCGUGGUGAAAGGAUUUAUUCGCUUCGGGAGGGGCCUGCGUCCCAUCAGCUAGUUGGUAAGGUAAUGGCUUACCAAGGCUAUGACGGGUAGGGGACCUGAGAGGGUGGCCCCCCACAAUGGAACUGAAACACGGUCCAUACACCUACGGGUGGCAGCAGUAGGGAAUAUUAGUAAUGGGCGAAAGCCUGAACUAGCAACGCCGCGUGUGCGAAGAAGGCCUUCGGGUUGUAAAGCACUUUUUGAGAGGAUGAGGAAGGACGGUACUCUCAGAAUAAGUCUCGGCUAACUACGUG